rnacentral:lncRNA from 1 species
UUAAAUGAUAAAAUAGAGCGAUCCAAGGUACACCCCCGGAAACAUGUAAGGAACAUCGGGUCAAAGAGGAUAGAAAUAUAUAGCCAAAAAGGGCGCAACUUUUUUCUAUCAUCUCAGGCAUUCGGAAAAAUGACCUCGUAUCGAUGGUUGCCAUCUUUCCAAUCACAUCGUGAGAUAUUCAUUAAAUAUUGCUCAUGGAGAAUUUCGGUUUCACUGUUAAGCCGCUUCGUAUGAUGGCGCUUCCCUGCUCUUAUCCAUCCAACAAAACUCAUUACUCCUUUCGCACUCAAAGUACUGAAACUCAUUCUACUCAACACUACUCUUAGGUAGGUUAGGUUAGGUUAGGUUGGGUUGGGGGAGUUUGGGCCUUUGCUAUCCCAUAUGUCUUUUGGCACGUUUGAUCUAUUGGUAGAGGGUGGACUCGCUAGCGGCAACUUUUUUCUUUUACCAACUCUUUUGUUCGCUUCUUCCACCUUUUGUCAACUCAACAAUAACCUUUAACGUUAAAUCCUCGACGAGAGCAUUCUGUCCCAUUUCCAGUAAGUGAAGGAUGAACGUUAGAAAGCUGACAUGUUCGCGAUUUGGUCUGCUAGUAAAUGUUGGGCAGAGAUGCCUGCUUGCCUUGUCUUGCCAAGGUAUUUUUUUCUUUUCGCAAACGAGUAACAGGUUGCUUUGGAGACGACAUGGGUAUCUGGAGACGAGUGUCUGAGAAAAAAAAUUGAAAAUCCGAAAUCAUGAUCAACUCCGAACGUACCUAAUUUGGAUGGACGAAGAGGAGGAAGAAGCGAGCACCCAUGAAAGAGAGCACACUGAUGCACGCAUCCAUCAAGUGUUACAAGACAGAGGUAAUAGUAGAUGAAAUAGAAGGGAUGGCAAGGUAAGAUAUGAAAAGGUAGGGUAAGGCAUGGGAUAAGAAGAGAAAUAGGAUAAGAAAAGAAAGAAAGAAAGAAGAAAAAUAAAAAUAAAAAUAAUACUAAAAAAUAAUUGGGGUAAUUUCUUUCUUUUUCCUUAAUUUAUUUUAAAGUUCUUUGAUCGAGUAUUUCCUUUUUAUCGACUUCUUCCUCUUGACACUGCCGAUGUCCUUUACCUUGCAAAACUUAUGCUAUCGCUCAUCCCGAGGAAAGUUUAUAAACUUGCUAGUAAGACUCGUUGUUUUCUUACUACAUAAUCCACCUUGUAUUCUUUUAGUAUACAAUUUUAACAUACUUUAUAGCAGCUUCAUUUAUACAACAUACGGAAUAGCAUAAUUUAUUUAUUAGAAACUUUUCAUAACAUACUUUAUUCGUAUAACAUACUCC